rnacentral:rRNA from 1 species
CCUACGGGUGGCAGCAGUGAGGAAUAUUGGUCAAUGGGCGCGAGCCUGAACCAGCCAAGUCGCGUGAGGGAAGACGGUCCUAUGGAUUGUAAACCUCUUUUGUCGGGGAGCAAAAGACGCCACGCGUGGCGUUCCGAGAGUACCCGCAGACAAAGCAUCGGCUAACUCCGUGCCAGCAGCCGCGGUAAUACGGGGGAUGCGAGCGUUAUCCGGAUUUAUUGGGGUUAACGGGAGCGUAGAUGGGUUGUUAAGUCAGUUGUGAAAGUUUGCGGCUCAACCGUAAAACUGCAAUUGAUACUGGCAGUCUUGAGUACAGUUGAGGUAGGCGGAAGUCGUGGUGUAGCGGUGAAAUGCGUAGAGAUCACGAAGAACCCCGAUUGCGAAGGCAGCUUACUAAACUGUGACUGACAUUGAUGCUCGAAAGUGUGGGGAGCAAACAGGAUUAGAUACCCCUGUAGUC